rnacentral:rRNA from 1 species
UUAAAGAGUGCGUAAUAGCUCACUGGUCGAGUGACUCUGCGCCGAAAAUGUACCGGGGCUAAACGUAUCACCGAAGCUGUGGAUUGACAUCUUAGAUGUCAGUGGUAGGAGAGCGUUCUAAGUGCAGUGAAGUCAGACCGUAAGGACUGGUGGAGCGCGUAGAAGUGAGACUGCCGGUAUGAGUAGCGAAAGACAAGUGAGAAUCUUGUCCACCGAAUGCC